GCCUUAGUAGCGGCGAGUGAAGCGGCAAAAGCUCAAAUUUGAAAUCUGGCUCUUUCAGAGUCCGAGUUGUAAUUUGAAGAAGGUAUCUUUGGGUCUGGCUCUUGUCUAUGUUUCUUGGAACAGAACGUCACAGAGGGUGAGAAUCCCGUGCGAUGAGAUGAUCCAGGCCUAUGUAAAGUUCCUUCGAAGAGUCGAGUUGUUUGGGAAUGCAGCUCUAAGUGGGUGGUAAAUUCCAUCUAAAGCUAAAUAUUGGCGAGAGACCGAUAGCGAACAAGUACAGUGAUGGAAAGAUGAAAAGAACUUUGAAAAGAGAGUGAAAAAGUACGUGAAAUUGUUGAAAGGGAAGGGCUUGAGAUCAGACUUGGUAUUUUGUAUGUUACUUCUUCGGGGGUGGCCUCUACAGUUUAUCGGGCCAGCAUCAGUUUGGGCGGUAGGAGAAUUGCGUUGGAAUGUGGCACGGCUUCGGUUGUGUGUUAUAGCCUUCGUCGAUACUGCCAGCCUAGACUGAGGACUGCGGUUUAUACCUAGGAUGUUGGCAUAAUGAUCUUAAGUCGCCCGUCUUGAACCACGGAACCAAAA
rnacentral:rRNA from 1 species